GACACUCUCCACCGUUUCACAUUAAUCAAUCAUUCAGGGCGCGCGAGGUAGCCACCCUCUCUCUUUCUUGGCCGCCUCCGCCGCAACCACCGCCCACACAUUCCUAUAUAGCUAAAUUAUUCAUUCAUUCAUCUUCAACAAAACAAAAAAGUAAAUUAAAUAGCGCCUUUUGCGUAUAUACUACAUAUGUAUAUAUAUAUGGGAGAAGUAGAGCGACAAGUGCAGUUCCAGCAGGUAGAAACAGAGUUGCAACAUUUGGCAUUGAAGAAAAGGAAGCGUUGUUUGUCGAAGCAGCAAUCGAUGUUUGAGGCGCCGCGAGACAUUGCAUGGGAGAGAAAGAGGCGACAAGAGGGGAAGACGAGGACGAGGACGAGGACUAGGAGGAACAGUUUUCACGAUAAUGUCACGGACGAUGAUCUUCACGAGCUUAAAGGGUGCAUAGAAUUAGGGUUCGGAUUCAACGAGGAAAACGGCCAGAAACUGUGCAACACCUUGCCGGCUCUCGACCUCUAUUUCGCCGUGAACCGCCAGCUGUCAUCGGUCUCCACCCCUCAUAGCCGCCCCUCUUCUUCCUUUGGGAGCCCCGUCAGUAGUGCACCGCCGCCUGAUUCUGAUUCUUGGAAGAUUUGUAGCCCGGGGGACGACCCUGAACAUGUAAAGACCAAGUUGAGACACUGGGCUCAGGCUGUAGCUUGUUCGUUAAUGCAGUCUCAUUGAAGGGUGGAUAUUGUGGAAUAUGAUAUUGUCUUGUACAGAGGAAGAUAUAUAUUCUAGAUAUGCGUGCACAGAGAAUGAUCAAGAAAACAAAAUAUGGAAGCAAAAAACUAAAGAAAGAAGACAAGUCUCGUUCUAUUUUUUUUUUCGUUUCUGGACAGUUUAAAAAAAGGAGAAAAAGAAAAUUGUGCAGCUUUCCUUGGGUUUUGUUUUGGAGCUAAACAAACGCAAUGGGGGGAAUACAAAAGAAGAAAGGAAGAAGAAGAAGAGUACAGCACGGCCAUGCAAGUCUACGCGGAGAGGAUGAGUAUAGCAGUGAGGGAUGGAGUGCGUCCAAUUCGCAGAUUAAUAAUUAAUGUAACCUUGCUGCCAAGCCAUAACGAAUGAAUAUGUUGAAACCGCAGUCACCCCCAUUCAAGCCCAUAAAUUCGACAAUUUACUUAUCAUAAGGCGCCACUCAGUUUUUUUUUUUUUUAAUUUUAGAAUAUUUACUUUAGAAUUCUUCCUUUCUUUCUUAUUUUCUUGGAUUUUUUAUUUUAUCUUUCCUUUUUCGUGUCAAUCAUACUAAGGAUAUGUUUGAAUG